CUAAACUAUUCCUCUCUCUUCCCCUUUCCUCUUCUGUGAAAACCAUAGUGUUGCACCUCGAUUCUCCUCCUCUCUCUCUCCUCCAAAAAUGGCAAAAGCGCAGAGGGUACAGAGAGAGUACAGCUUUUGAAUGUCUUUUGUGGUGAAACAAUUAAUGUUUCCACCCGAUUUCGCGAAAUAAACUCCAAUUGCGGUAUUAAUCCUUUCCCUUUUUACUUUUUCUUCAAUUUUUAAGUCAAACAAUAUGAUUUUCUGUGUCUUUGUUGUUAUAUUGUAAAUGUACAAACUCGAUUUUCAUUGGUUCACAACAGAUUGGUGAGGAUCUACCUGAAAUAUGUCAAAUCCAACCGCAUAUGUUUAUUUUCUGUAGAUCCUAGCCGUUGAUUUCAUGGUAUUACGUUUUGCAUCUGAAAGAUCAUGUUGCCCCACAUCAAAUUUUAGGUCUUCACAAGAAUUUUGGGGUUCUAUAGAACCCCAACCCUCUCACAAAAUAAGUUUUUGGGAAGUUUCAAAAAGUUUUAGAACACAAAAAGCUUGAGAUUUGAAUUAAAAAUUCGAAACUUGAGCUUACCAGUAUAAUUUUAGGCUUUAACUUUAAGGUUGAAGUCUUAUUAGUUCUAAAGUUUAUUUUCUUUGUGUUUUGUGUGGCUGAGUGUGGAAUUGGGAAGCAUAAAGGGUCUUCAAAUCAAUUCUUGUACACGGCUGCGCAUAAAAAAGAUUGUGAUAUAGAGACCGUUGCUCCUCCUCACAUCUAGCAUGGAGGAUAUUUGUUGACAGAUUUUGGGUGAGCUUCUUCCCAUGCCAGGCUGCCCAAAGAUCUUCUUGCUAUGAUGUCUUUUCGUACUCUGGACAUUAUGGAUUACUUACUUGUUAGACUUCAGAUUCUUAGACAUGUUUUUAGCAUAGAGUCCUGUAUGAUGACUUUCGAAUUUUGGGGAUUGUAAUAAUUAGAACUUUCGCGCUUAUUUCAGUAUUUAUGGCAUGACUUAUUUUGUUCUUUGA